AUCGCUUCUCGGCCUUUUGGCUAAGAUCAAGUGUAGCAUCUGUUCUUAUCAGUUUAAUAUAGAAGGACAUCAAUGGAAAUGGUAGAGUAAAGAAUUGACAUCAUAGAAGCAGAGAGUAGAAUAGUUGUUACCAGACACUGA
rfam:Pongo abelii chromosome X.